rnacentral:rRNA from 1 species
ACUGAACGCUGGCGGCGUGCUUAACACAUGCAAGUCGAUCGGUAACAGGUGUAGCAAUACAUGCUGACGAGAGGCGGACGGGUGAGUAAUGCUUGGGAAUCUGCCUAUUAGUGGGGGACAACCCGGGGAAACGUCGGGCUAAUACCGCAUACGCCCUACGGAGGAAAGCCGGGGACCGCAAGGCCUGGCGCUAAUAGAUGAGCCCAAGUCGGAUUAGCUAGUUGGUAGGGUAACGGCCACCAAGGCGACAAUCCGUAGCUGGUCUGAGAGGACGACCAGCCACACCGGAACUGAGACACGGUCCGGACUCCUACGGGAGGCAGCAGUGGGGAAUAUUGGACAAUGGGGCAACCCUGAUCCAGCGACGCCGCGUGGGUGAAGAAGGCCUGCGGGUUGUAAAGCCCUUUCGGUGGGAACGAAAUAUGCCGGGCUAAUACCCCCGGUAGGCUGACGUUACUCAAUGAAGAAGCACCGGCUAACUCUGUGCCAGCCGCCGCAGUAAU